rnacentral:rRNA from 1 species
AACGAACGCUGGCGGCAUGCCUAACACAUGCAAGUCGAACGAGACCUUCGGGUCUUGUGGCGCACGGGUGAGUAACGCGUGGGAAUCUGCCCUUAGGUUCGGAAUAACUCCCCGAAAGGGGUGCUAAUACCGGAUAAUGUCUUCGGACCAAUGAUUUUUCGCCUUUGGAUGGGCCCGCGUUGGAUUAGCUAGUUGGUAGGGUAAAAGCCUAUCAAGGCGACGAUCCAUAGCUGGUCUGAGAGGAUGAUCAGCCACACUGGGACUGAGACACGGCCCAGACUCCUACGGGAGGCAGCAGUGGGGAAUAUUGGACAAUGGGCGCAGUCCUGAUCCAGCAAUGCCGCGUGAGUGAUGAAGUCCUUAGGGUUGUAAAGCUCUUUUACCCGGGAUGAUAAUGACAGUACCGGGAGAAUAAGCUCCGGCUAACUCCGUG